AGUGAACGCUGGCGGCGUGCCUAAUACAUGCAAGUCGAACGGAGUGGCGCACGGGUGAGUAAUGUAUAGCUAAUCUUCCCUCCACUAGAGGACAACAGUUGGAAACGACUGCUAAUACUCUAUAGUUUAGGAUGAGGCUAUAUUGUUUCAGCUAGUUGGUGAGGUAAUGGCUGACCAAGGCUAUGACGCAUAACUGGUCUGAGAGGAUGAUGAGUAACACUGGAACGGAGACACGGUCCGGACUCCUACGGGAGGCGGCAGUAGGGAAUAGUGCUCAAUCGGGGAGACCGUGAAGGAGCUACGCCGCGUGGAGGAUGAUACUUAUCGAGGCGUAAACUCCUUUUGUUAGGGAAGCGGUACCUAACGAAGAAGCACCGGCUAACUCCGUGCCAGCAGCCGCGGUAAUAC
rnacentral:rRNA from 1 species